AGUGAACGCUGGCGGUAGGCCUAACACAUGCGAGUCGAACGGCAGCACAGUAAGAGCUUGCUCUUACGGGUGGCGAGUGGCGGACGGGUGAGGAAUACAUCGGAAUCUACUUUUUCGUGGGUGAUAACGUAGGGAAACUUACGCUAAUACCGCAUACGACCUACGGGUGAAAGCAGGGGAUCUUCGGACCUUGCGCGAUUGAAUGAGCCGAUGUCGGAUUAGCUAGUUGGCGGGUUAAAGGCCCACCAAGGCGACGAUCCGUAGCUGGUCUGAGAGGAUGAUCAGCCAGGCUGGAACUGAGACAAGGUCCAGACUCCUACGGGAGGCAGCAGUGGGGAAUAUUGGACAAUGGGCGCAAGCCUGAUCCAGCCAUACCGCGUGGGUGAAGAAGGCCUUCGGGUUGUAAAGCCCUGUUGUUGGGAAAGAAAAGCAGCAGGUUAAUACCCCGCUGUUCUGACGGUACCCAAAGAAUAAGCACCGGCUAACUUCGUG
rnacentral:rRNA from 1 species